UAAGGCCUUAGCUUAAUUAAAGUGUCUGUUUUGCAUGCAGAAGAUGUGGGUUAAAGACCCGUAGGUCUUA
rnacentral:tRNA from 1 species